ensembl:lncRNA
GAACAGUUGCAUCAAAAAGCGUGAGUGCUUUCUCUCUCCCUGACCAUCUCUUGGGCUUUCUCUCCCCACCAUCAUCCUGGCUGAUCACCACAGGCUGUGAGAUCUCACAGGGUCGGGAUGCUGGGACCAGGUGGCCCCUGGAAAAUAUCUUUGAUGUAAUCAAGCAUUGAUCUUCCCUGUGACCGAGCCCAGGGCUGAGCGGAGUACCACAGAAGACUCAAAAUACAAGAAUCAUCAGCAGGCCAGCAGAAAGUGAGGACCAGGAGCACAGGACUUCACAGGUGAAUGUGGAGGGGGUGAGGUGAGAGCCAUCAGCUGGGAGGCGUGAUUGCUGGUCUUUCCCCCCUGCUCAGGGUGAUCUAGUUACCGGGUCCUGGAGCACAGAGGGGCUCAUAGUAACACGGGGCUUUGACAGAACCUAACGUUUCCCCUCGCGCACUUUUCUUAGCCCCUAAGACCAGUCUGUCCUGCACAGACAUGUCCCCUGGAGCCAAAGUCUCCUUCUCCGGGAUGGGAAAGGCUCCAGUCUACAGGGGAUUUAUAGACCCGAUGUCCUCCUCUCUGUGCAGCUGCCCAGGGCCAGCAGUCCUGCCCUGAGGGUCAGGAUGGGGUCAGGGGUCAGAGCCACUGGUGCACUUGAACCACAUUGUUUCCUACAAAACACAGGCUGACCUCGAUGACACGAGUGUGUCCAGGCAGAAUCCCCUUGGACCUAGUCCAGAGAGGGCCCUGCCCUGGAUCCUCCACAUCAGAGGACAAUUCCCCACUGUCCAGGCCCCCAGCAAAGAGAGGGGUCCGUGAGCACAGGGGACACACACACCCAGAUAGUGUCCAUGCCUUCCCCCUUCUAGACCAUCUGUGUGUUCUCCUGCCCCAGUGGAGGAAUCUCCUUACCCAGCGGAGCCCAGCUGACUUCAAGACCUGCAGUGGCCCCUUCCCAACACAUCCAGAGUGGACAGCGAGUGAGCAGCCCUGGUUCUGACAGUGACCGAGAGCCUGCUGUUUUCUGUGGAGGUUUAGACCAGGGCUUCUCAAAGUACAGACCAUCUGCAGGCAGCAUCAGCUGGGAUGCUGAUUACCUGAGAGGCUGUUAGAAGUGAAGGUUCUCAGGCCACACCCCAGGCCUAGAAAGUCAGAAUCUGUGUGUCACAAACUUUCUAGGUUAUCCUUACGCACAUUAAGGUUUGAGAGGUGCUGGUUUAUGGGAAACAAAGACACACAGGCUGGGUUGCAGCACCUGCUCACAGGCCAGGCCCCAGGCUGCUGGGAGGUGAGGGACCUGGAAGAGCAGAUGACAGGCCUCAGCCUGGCUCUCCCCUCAAGGCCACAUUCUAACCUCUUCUCCAGCCUCAGGGUCCUCUGAGGGACAGGGCAUUGCAGCACAUUUUGGGCAGGGGAUGCCCACCUUGCACAGGGAGCAUGAGGAAAAAUCUCUGGCUUCAGCACACACACACACAAAGUGUACCCUAAUCCUCCUUCACAAAAAUCCUCCUUGCUAGACAGUAGAUCCCCUUAAUAUUCAGACUCUGCUUAAAGGGGCCAAGUGCCAUGGGACAAACUCUAAUAAAUUUCCUUUGCAAAUUCUAUAUUUAAGUUAAUGUUCAGAAUGUCAUUAUAUUCUGAUAUCUCGGUGGACACUCAGCUUUAAUAUUUCACCCUAGGAGUUCCCACUGUGGCUCAGCAGAAAUGAAUCUGACUAGCAUUCAUGAGGACAUAGUUUCGAUCCCUGGCCUCGCUCAGCAGGCUAAGGACCCAGUCUUGCCAUGAGCUGUGGUGUAGGUUGCUAAUGUGGCUCAUAUCUGGCGUAGGCCGGGAUUCGACCCCUAGCCUGGGAACCUCCAUGUGCCACGGGUGGGGCCCUAAAAAGACAAAAAAAAAAAAAAAAAAA